ensembl:lncRNA
CAGGAAAGUCUUGAUCCUUAGCUGAAGAUUUCUGCAGUAUGAGCAACAGGGCAAAGUAGCUGAUCACAUCUGAAAUGACUAGGAAACAAAGGCUAAAUAUGGAAUUAGUAGAUAUUGUGAUUAGAGCAGUUGAGAACUUGAUGUUCUGAUUUCAAAGAAAAAUAAGAAAUUCUGAAAAGAAAAUAGAUCUGCUUCAACUGGAAAAAAAAAAGUGUUUUUUGUUCUUGUUUUUGUUUUUAGCUAAAUGUAGGCCUGAAAAUACUGUUUCAACUUAAUUGGAAGCAUUCAAUUGGGCUGAAAUGAAUGCAAAGUUCACUUCCAGUCACUGUCAUGACUAGAUCAGAUGCUAACUUCUAGCUUGCUGAAAGCAAGGAAAGUAUAAUAAACGCCAUGCUUACCCAUACAGGACAAAGAAACAAGGUGUGAUUUUCCAGUCCUGCAAAGUUCUACUUGAAUUGCUGGCCAAAGGAGGAGAUGCAUUCACUCAACCAAUAUAUCACAUUAGAGUGGUUUGCCUCUCAGUGUUAGUGGCAAUUGCAGUAGGAGUGCUGCACUGACUGCCAUCUGGAACUGGUGCAUUUAACUACCAACUAACAGCCUCCUGUGGGGUUUUUGCAUGUUUGGUGUGCAAUAUCCAUGAAGAUAGCACAUCUGCAUAAGUGAAAUAUGAUUUGUGCUCCAUUCCUGCUGCCUGCUGUGCAGAAAAGAAAGGAACAACUGGCUACAAAACUCAAGUGCUUUCUUAAAGAGAAAAGAAUGCAAUGGAAGUACAGCUGCUUUGUUGAGUAUAACUGGUCUGGGGAAAAAUAAAGGGAGAAAAGUAAUUACUCAUUGUUAAUGGAUGAAGAAGAGAAGGAUGGUUCCUCAUCCUUGGUGUGAAAAUGGUUUCCUGUGCACAUUCAGUCACUGUGGAGUGAGAUUCAUCAUAGCUGUUUUAGCUACAUAAAAGUAAGGCAUGUGUUCAUAGCUAGCUGUCCAACCUCUCAGAAGAGACUGCCAGCUCCUUUUUAUCUUCCUGAGUCCCUCC